rnacentral:tRNA from 1 species
GGGACUGUAGCGCAGCCUGGAUAGCGCGAAGCACUCCUAAUGCUUAGGUCGUGGGUUCAAAUCCCAUCAGUCCCG